rnacentral:rRNA from 1 species
CAGGACGAACGCUGGCGGCGUGCCUAAUACAUGCAAGUCGAACGGCUUUUCUAUGGAAGCUUGCUUCCACUGAGAAGAUAGUGGCGAACGGGUGAGUAACACGUGGGUAACCUGCCCAUAAGAGGGGGGAUAACAUCCGGAAACGGGUGCUAAUACCGCAUAGUUUUCUUGAUCGCAUGAUCGGGAAAGGAAAGACGGCCUUUGUGCUGUCGCUUAUGGAUGGACCCGCGGCGUAUUAGUUAGUUGGUGAGGUAACGGCUCACCAAGACGAUGAUACGUAGCCGACCUGAGAGGGUGAUCGGCCACAUUGGGACUGAGACACGGCCCAAACUCCUACGGGAGGCAGCAGUAGGGAAUCUUCCGCAAUGGACGAAAGUCUGACGGAGCAACGCCGCGUGAGUGAAAGAAGGUUUUCGGAUCGUAAAACUCUGUUGUCAGAGAAGAACAAGUUGGAGAGUAACUGCUCCAGCCUUGACGGUAUCUGACCAGAAAGCCACGGCUAACUACGUGCCAGCCGCGGC